UUUGCGUGCUUUAACACAUGCAAGUCGAGCGGACAGAUGGGAGCUUGCUCCCUGAUGUUAGCGGCGGACGGGUGAGUAACACGUGGGUAACCUGCCUGUAAGACUGGGAUAACUCCGGGAAACCGGGGCUAAUACCGGAUGCUUGAUUGAACCGCAUGGUUCAAUUAUAAAAGGUGGCUUUUAGCUACCACUUACAGAUGGACCCGCGGCGCAUUAGCUAGUUGGUGAGGUAACGGCUCACCAAGGCGACGAUGCGUAGCCGAACUGAGAGGGUGAUCGGCCACACUGGGACUGAGACACGGCCCAGACUCCUACGGGAGGCAGCAGUAGGGAAUCUUCCGCAAUGGACGAAAGUCUGACGGAGCAACGCCGCGUGAGUGAUGAAGGUUUUCGGAUCGUAAAACUCUGUUGUUAGGGAAGAACAAGUACCGUCGAAUAGGGCGUACCUGAUCGGACUUUCG
rnacentral:rRNA from 1 species